AAGUCGUAACAAGGUAACCGUAGGUGAACCUGCGGUUGGAUCAUUACUAAAGAAAUAUGUGCCUGCGCGCCCCUGGGCAAGCUUGCACCAUAUUUUACCACCCCUUUGUGAACUGUUUCCCGUAUUUUGGCGGCCCUCCAAACGGAGCGGAAAGCCAAAGGCUGGCCUAGUCCCUCGGGGCGACCGCUUGUCUUUGGCCCACGCUCUUGGGCCGUCAGCCUUAAAUCACACCAAUGUUGUAUUUCAAACUCAUGUCUCCAAAAGAUUUCUAUAAAUCUUGUUUUUAUAAUAAAAAACAACUUUUGACAACGGAUCUCUUGGCUCUC
rnacentral:misc_RNA from 1 species